UGAACGGCCAGGUGUGACUGGUGGAGUUGCUGUUCAGGAAGGAAGGGCUCAUCUGGAACAAGACAAAUCAACAGCACAGUGAGCAAAUCUGCCUGCCUGCCUGCAWUUGGGUUCACCCUGCCUCCAAGUCGUAUCAAGUCUUUUGACUUUGAACCAAGAAAACAAGGGAGAAUUCACAACGUUAUACAUACUGAUGACAUUCUCACCAUCUCAUCGAGUUGUGGACAGAAGCUCAAUCCAGACUUACCUUGGCCAUGUAGAAGUCUCCUCCGCCGAUACCACAACCGAC